rnacentral:rRNA from 1 species
CAACUCGAGUGCAUGAAGCUGGGAUCGCUAGUAAUCGCGAAUCAGCAUGUCGCGGUGAAUACGUUCCCGGGUCUUGUACACACCGCCCGUCACACCAUGGGAGUCGGGAAUGCCCGAAGCCGGUGGCCCAACUGAGAGGAGGGAGCCGUCGAAGGCAGGCCGGAUGACUGGGGUGAAGUCGUAACAAGGUACC